UACAGAGGUCUCAAGCGUUGUUCGGAUUCAUUGGGCGUAAAGAGUGCGUAGGCGGCGCGGUAAGUCGGGUGUGAAAUCUCGGGGCUUAACUCCGAAACUGCAUUCGAUACUGCCGUGCUUGAGGACUGGAGAGGAGACUGGAAUUUACGGUGUAGCGGUGAAAUGCGUAGAUAUCGUAAGGAAGACCAGUGGCGAAGGCGGGUCUCUGGACAGUUCCUGACGCUGAGGCACGAAGGCCAGGGGAGCAAACGGG
rnacentral:rRNA from 1 species